rnacentral:rRNA from 1 species
UACGUAGGGACCAAGCGUUGUUCGGAUUUACUGGGCGUAAAGGGCGCGUAGGCGGCGCGGUAAGUCACUUGUGAAAUCUCUGAGCUUAACUCAGAACGGCCAAGUGAUACUGCAGUGCUAGAGUGUGGAAGGGGCAAUCGGAAUUCCUGGUGUAGCGGUGAAAUGCGCAGAUAUCAGGAAGAACACCCGUGGCGAAAGCGGCUCUCUGGAACGGUACUGACGCUGAGACGCGAAAGCGUGGGGAGCGAACAGG